AACGAACGCUGGCGGCAGGCUUAACACAUGCAAGUCGAACGCCCCGCAAGGGGAGUGGCAGACGGGUGAGUAACGCGUGGGAACAUACCUUUUGGUUCGGAACAACUGAGGGAAACUUCAGCUAAUACCGGAUAAGCCCUUACGGGGAAAGAUUUAUCGCCGAAGGAUUGGCCCGCGUUGGCUUAGCUAGUUGGUGGGGUAACGGCCUACCAAGGCGAAGAUCCAUAGCUGGUCUGAGAGGAUGAUCAGCCACAUUGGGACUGAGCCACGGCCCAAACUCCUACGGGAGGCGGCAGUGGGGAAUAUUGGACAAUGGGCGCAAGCCUGAUCCAGCCAUGCCGCGUGAGUGAUGAAGGCCUUAGGGUUGUAAAGCUCUUUCACCGAUGAAGAUAAUGACGGUAGUCGGAGAAGAAGCCCCGGCUAACUUCGUGCCAGCAGCCGCCGUAAUAC
rnacentral:rRNA from 1 species